UACGGAGGGUGCAAGCGUUAUCCGGAUUUACUAGGUUUAAAGGGUGCGUAGGUGGUUAAUUAAGUCAGUGGUGAAAUCUUCAGGCUUAACCUGGAAACUGCCAUUGAUACUAUUUAUCUUGAAUACUUUGGAGGUAAGCGGAAUAUGUCAUGUAGCGGUGAAAUGCUUAGAUAUGACAUAGAACACCAAUUGCGAAGGCAGCUUACUACACAGUAAUUGACACUGAGGCACGAAAGCGUGGGGAUCAAACAGG
rnacentral:rRNA from 1 species